rnacentral:rRNA from 1 species
GACGGGGGGUGCUAGCGUUGUUCGGAAUCACUGGGCGUAAAGGGCGCGCAGGCGGCCGCGCAAGUCGGAUGUGAAAGCCCGGGGCUCAACUCCGGAAUGGCAUUCGAGACUGCGUGGCUCGAGACCGGAAGAGGAGGGUGGAAUUCCCAGUGUAGAGGUGAAAUUCGUAGAUAUUGGGAGGGACACCGGUGGCGAAAGCGGCUCUCUGGUCCGGUUCUGACGCUGAGGCGCGAAAGCGUGGGGAGCAAACAGGAUUAGAUACCCCGGUAGU